GACGAACGCUGGCGGCGUGCUUAACACAUGCAAGUCGAACGGAAAGGCCCUGCUUUUGUGGGGUGCUCGAGUGGCGAACGGGUGAGUAACACGUGAGUAACCUGCCCUUGACUUUGGGAUAACUUCAGGAAACUGGGGCUAAUAUCGGAUAGGAGCUCCUGCUGCAUGGUGGGGGUUGGAAAGAGUCGGCGGUUGGGGAUGGACUCGCGGCUUAUCCGCUUGUUGGUGGGGUAGUGGCUUACCAAGGCUUUGACGGGUAGCCGGCCUGAGAGGGUUGCCGGCGACAAUGGGACUGAGAUACGGCGCAGACUCCUACGGGAGGCAGCAGGGGGGAAUAUUGCACAAUGGGCGGAAGCCUGAUGCAGCAACGCCGCGUGCGGGAUGACGGCCUUCGGGUUGUAAACCGCUUUCGCCCGUGACGAAGCGUGAGUGACGGUAAUGGGUAAAGAAGCACCGGCUAACUACGUG
rnacentral:rRNA from 1 species